CCUACGGGGGGCUGCAGUGAGGAAUAUUGGUCAAUGGACGAGAGUCUGAACCAGCCAAGUAGCGUGAAGGAUGACUGUCCUAUGGGUUGUAAACUUCUUUUAUAUGGGAAUAAAAUGUUCCACGUGUGGGAGGUUGUAUGUACCAGAUGAAUAAGGAUCGGCUAACUCCGUGCCAGCAGCCGCGGUAAUACGGAGGAUACGAGCGUUAUCCGGAUUUAUUGGGUUUAAAGGGUGCGUAGGUGGAUUGUUAAGUCAGUUGUGAAAGUUUGCGGCUCAACCGUAAAAUGGCAGUUGAAACUGGCAGUCUCGAGUACAGUAGAGGUGGGCGGAAUUCGUGGUGUAGCGGUGAAAUGCUUAGAUAUCACGAAGAACUCCGAUUGCGAAGGCAGCUCACUGGACUGCAACUGACACUGAGGCUCGAAAGUGUGGGUAUCAAACAGGAUUAGAUACCCCGGUAGUC
rnacentral:rRNA from 1 species